rnacentral:tRNA from 1 species
CAGUCUAGUGGUAUGAUUCCUGCUUUGGGUCUAGCUCCUAAGCUGCAGGAGGCCCCGCGUUCGAAUCGCGGUUGG